UUGAGCUCUUUCACUCCUCCUCCACAAAAUCACUGGCUUCAUAUGCAUUCACUGGCAUUCAUAUGCUUUAUAUCCAUAUGGUGCUCGUUUAAUUGGUGAACGGAGCAAAAAGAUGCGUUCAGGUAUGAGGGUAGGUUAGACUGCUGUUACACUCCAUUCUCCAGAUUGUUUAUUGAAAUAGAGAGGAGCCUUCUGAAGGGCAAGAGCACAUUUUAGCAAGGCUCCCAAAGGAGACUUGCCAUCAAUUCGAUAUGCACAGCUAAGAGGUAUAGAUUUUCAUGGUGCUCCAGCAGCUGAGUUAUCAGAUCUCAAAGGUGCAGCUUGGAGUAGAUUUGACAUUCACCCAGAGCAGCUCACCAUCCAGUCUAGAUAGUGACAGUUAGAAAAACAAAGUGAUUAGUGGAGUACUAUGGAUACACAGGUCAGUAAAAUGGUUAUUAUUAGAACAGUGGAAAAAUGCUGAGUCUUAUGAUUCAGUACAUGUGUUUGUGGACAUUUCUAGGCAAAUGCUGUUGAGUUUUGGACAGAAUGCAUUUUGGAAUUUCUUCACUCUGAUCCCCCCCUUUUCUUUUUUCCUCUUUUCUUGCAGAGCCACAGCAAUCUCUUUUGUCUCUCAGUGCAGGGUGAUUUGUUUUCCUUUUUCCCACAGUGCAGUGUCAUUAUUCUCUUUUCCAGAAGAAGAAGAAUGGAUGACCCAACAAUUAGGACUCAUGGAUAACCCAACAAUUAGGACCUAAUGGAUGACCCAAUGAUUAGGAUCUAGGCAUCUGGCUGGUGAGGGUCUCCCUUGGUAGGAGCUCUCCUCUUUCAGGGGUGUGUGCACUAUGUCACUAAGGAUGUGAUUACAAGGGCUGAUAGCUUUGGCCAGAACUCUGCUCAAGGUCAGGUUUGCCCACCCUUUGACACUGCUUAGAAGGAGCUGUGCCACCAUCCCUGCCAAGCAGAGGAAAGUCAUGAGGCACUGGGGACAAAUAAAGGACAAUGAAUCAGCCAUGCCACAAAGUGAACCUUAUUCUUUAGGAGAGCUGGAUUUUGCCAGUACAAUAGCUAGAUUACACAGCCAUUUCCUCCAAUUACCUUCUCUGUCAAAUCUCUGUGUCAUCUGGCACUAGGAAAGUUUGGUUUCAAAUUCGUUGUGAAUCGGGGCAGUGACACCAGAGAUUUCUAAAUUAAUAUCCUGCCAACAGGAAUUGAGCUUGUUUUUUCCAGUCGUGUCAGUUCUGAUUCUGUUGCUUGUCAGAGAAAACUUUGGCUUGCCAUCUGGUUUCAGGGGCAUGGAUUAAGGAAAUCUUAAGUUGCUCAAUCCAGCACUGUGUGCUUGUCCCAUGUCUUCCUCUCUUUGUUUCUGUUCUCACUGUCAAUGAGUAGGUAUGGGAUGUCUUCCAAGGAGUUAGUGGUAGUUUACCUGCAGUCAAGGGGCAGAUUUGCCCUGGCAGCUUGCUAAAAUCUUCAUGAAGCUCAUCCUUCCCUCCUCCCCUGCUGAAUGACACUUCGGUUGAGGAGAUGUUGUGCACUAUGGUCCCAUGUCAAAGCAGUUCCUUGCCUUGCCUAGCAAAGCAGCUCUGAGUUAACCAAAGGGGUUGUUUUGGCCUGUGAGUAGCAGUGGUGCCUGCCUCCUCUUCCUGCACACAGUUGUGUGGCAAUGCAAGAAGAAUGCUUAAGACCAACAAGGGGGGUUUCAGUGGGGCAUCGAGGCUGCAGGGGCUGAUGUGGUAUUAUUACUGUCAUAGGUGUCCAGAGGAUAUGAAGGUGAUGCUGCAUGUCCUGGAGCUGGCCUGAUGGAGCUGAGAGCAGAUGGAUGGAUGGAGCCAGCACUGCUGAUCCGUGGCAGUGAGGCUGUGCAUUGUACAUGGAACCACUCACGUGAUUCCUGUCGAGCCAAAAUAUUCUUUCAGAAAGAGCAUUGACCAGAUGCCUUAUUAUUAUUGCUCACAAUGCUGUCCUCAGAGUACAACAAUCCAUCACGGAGCUCGGCGCAGUCCUACAGAAAAGUCCCUGACACAUUUUUACAGAAGGGCCAGGUUCUCACCACUUGUGUGCAUUUGUAUCCCUUGACAAAUAGCUGUUUGACUUCAGUUUUGUUCCAAGUCAGUGGUGUCAAGCACAGGGCUCCUAUUCAAGUGCCCACCAAUGGUGAUGCACAACUCCCUGCUUCCUCUUCUUUUCUUGCUUUGUUUCCCUGUGGCAGUCACUGUUUCUUUUUUUUCCCCUUCUCCUCACAUAUCUCAUAGGUUUGCUUUAAAGAUAGUUUUAAAGAAUAUAUUCACAGCAAAAAAGUGCCUUUAAUAAGAACUGUAAAAAUGGCUCAGGACUAGAUAUCAUGGGGAAUUGCUGUUUGCAUAGGUUGCUGAUAUGACACUUGAUUAUUUUCUGCUAAUUUUUCCAACUUGAUUAGCAGACUGGCUAGCGAAGCCUUGGGUGUGUUGAGAAAUACUGUGGUUUGGCUUCUGCUCAAUGUAUGGCUCCUCCUAAAACUGAGAGGUGUGUUCCUAAGUGCUCUGAGCACCUCGGACGUGUGGUAGAAUUAUUACUACCAGGUUAUGAGCAGUGCUGUUUGUCCUUUCAUGUAUCAGCCUUUCAGGCAAGACGUUGACUUUAAAUUCCUUUCUGAGUUAAAUGUAUCCCCAAGGUUGCCUGUAAGGAACAGACUCCAGCUGUGUCAUGUGCUGUGUGAACUUAAAAAACAACGAUGUCCCUCUGUUUCAGGUGUAUUGAGAGUGUAGUGGCUGAGGGAUGUGCAGAAAGUCAAGCUGGGAGUGGAAGCACAGCCCCAAAAUGCAUGUGCACAGCCAGUAAUUUGUGUGCUCGCAGAGCAUUUUCCAUCACAUGAGCCUGAAAUGGAAGAGGAUUUAUGGAAUGGAGAGCAUGAGGCACCAAUUCAGCAAAUACCAGAGUGUGUAUGUAAGUGUUUGCAGGUCUAAAUAUGCAAGUGGUCUUGAUCUUCUUAAGCUGCUUCAUGCUGCUGACUCCAAAGGCUGAUGGGAGAACCUGCACACAGUUUGCACAUCAAGAUUUUUACAAGUUUUGUGUAAUGAGAGCUUUCUCACCAUGUUGAUUGAGCAUCGUCUUCCACUCAUUACUUCUCAGCCUGUUUAAUAGAUUUACUGCUACUGAGCACCCUCAGCGGAUGCUGAAUGUCACAUUGUUGGUGCAGUGGCCUCAUUACUUUCUUAAUAUCUUAAGCUUCCAUUCUUUUAAAUUUUGGCAAGUACAUGAUGGUGUAUCUGACCUAUUAUUGUUCCUUUCUUCUUCUUCUGACCUGUUGAUGCCUCCCAGCCGUGGUUCAUCAUUAUGGAGGCUGUUGGUGGCCCUGCCUAUGCUCUGAUGCUUCCUCUGGAGUUCAGCUUCGAAGUAAAUCUCACAUCACACUGCAAACUUUUUUUCAAGCCAGAGACCUGUCUGUAAUUCGUAGCUCACCAGGGUCUGCAGGCCAGAGGCUGAAAAGUGUUGCAUCAAAGGAGCUGAGUGCUGGAGAUGUGGCUGAGAUGGAAAUGAAGGUCUAAAGUCCCAGAAUGGAAACCACCCAGGCCUCCUUGCUCAACUCCCUUCUGAUGCUGUGAGUACCUCUUUUCAACCUGCUUGAUCCCAGAGUCUUUAGGGUGGCUUACAGUUCUGUCUCUGGAGUUUGUUUAAAGACUGAGGCUGACCAAGAUGGAGAAAUCAAUUGUGUUCAUGUGCCUGUUCAACUCAUCGGCUUUCCCUGUAUAAACUCAUGGGUUGAGAUUUUUUUGUAAAGGCCAGCUGUGGUUCUACCCUUUGGCCAUGGAGCUGCAGGAUACCAUACCCUUACUUUCCCCCUGUAAGAUCUUGUGUUGAAACCUAUGAUAUGAGCAUUGGUUGCAGUACUCCCUGCUCAUCAUCCUAGUACCUGGGAACCUUCCCUCUCCCUGGGCUUUAGAAAGGUGCUGCUUCUUGGCUUGGACAUUCCCUUGGGAGAGUCUAACCCAUCCCAUUCUCCCUACAAGGACUGUCCAAGUUCAAUGCACAGAUUUCCAGCUUGG